rnacentral:rRNA from 1 species
GGGGGGGGGGGGGGGGGGGGGUGGGGGGGGGGGGGCGGGCGGUGGCGGGUGUGGGGAUGGUGGGGGGUGGCGGGCGGGGGGGUAGUGCAGCGGAACGGGCCGGGGCUUGGGUGGUAACGGGGCGGAAGCUUUGCUAAUACCGCAUACGAUCUAAGGAUGAACGCGGGUGACCGCAAGGCCUUGUCCGUUUGUAGCGGCCUAUGUCAGCUUAGGUAGUUGGUGGGAUAAACGCUUACCAAGCCGACGAUCUGUCGCUGGUCUGAGAGGACGACCAGCCACACUGGGACUGAGACACGGCCCAGACUCCUACGGGAGGCAGCAGUGGGGAAUUUUGGACAAUGGGCGAAAGCCUGAUCCAGCAAUGCCGCGUGCAGGAUGAAGGCCUUCGGGUUGUAAACUGCUUUUGUACGGAACGAAAAGGCUCUGGCUAAUACCUGGGGCACAUGACGGUACCGUAAGAAUAAGCACCGGCUAACUACGUG